rnacentral:rRNA from 1 species
UACGUAGGUGGCAAGCGUUGUCCGGAUUUAUUGGGUUUAAAGGGUGCGUAGGCGGUCUAUUAAGUCAGUGCUGAAAUAUCCCGGCUUAACCGGGAGGGUGGCAUUGAUACUGAUGGACUUGAGUAAAGUUGAGGUUGGCGGAAUUGACGGUGUAGCGGUGAAAUGCUUAGAUAUCGUCAAGAACACCUAUUGCGAAGGCAGCUAACUAAGCUUAAACUGACGCUGAGGCACGAAAGUGUGGGGAUCAAACGGG